rnacentral:snRNA from 1 species
GUGUGCUCACUUUGGCCGCACAUAUACUAAAACUGGAACGAUAGAGAGAAAAUUAGCAUGGCCCCUAUGCAAGAUGACAUGUAAAUGCAUUCCAUAUUUUU